AUCAGAGAAGGGAAAAGUUAUGUGGCCCUCACAGGAAAAAGUUUGGGGACCCCUGCUUUAGGGUGUUCGUCUUCAGCUCCUACUUUAAUAUAAAGUCAGAGGAGCAGGAGCCUGAUUGUCCAAUAACUCUACUACUACUAUACCCCUACUGCUUUUAGCUUAUUCUAUUUCCUCUAUGUGUUCUACUCGCUCUGUUCACUGUUCACUCCUGCACUUCCGUACUGCUCGUGCUCUGAUUCAGUCUUCACAUAUUACAGACACAGGGGCCUGGGAGGACCUGCUAUCCCACGAUACAAUGCUAGGCUUCUCCGAGCCAUGUGUCCGAGCAUCUGGCGGUCGCUAUCUGACGACAUCAAGUGUGGAUAUGGCUGCAGGACUCUGGGAAGGUAGACUCCAUAGGAAGCCCUCUGUUAGGGGGAGGUCCUCAUCUUCGUGCAGGACCAGGCCCUCGGGGUUGGAUAGGGAGUUUCCAGCUCAAUGCCAAACCUGCAACAUGAAAAACAAUAACAGAACUUCAACCAUCACCUUCCAAUAACAGCAUAGCGGGAAAACCGGAUGCAUUCUUUCAGAUGUUAUCUUUAUUGUUAAACUGUAUAGUUACAGAAUGGUCCAGAAUAAUCAUCCGAUUAUUGCAUGUGAAGGACUAUAUGGGCUGGUUUCCUGAACCUAGAUUAACCCUAGUCAUGGACUAAAAAUUAUUCUCAAUAAAGAAUUUCCAUUGAAAGUGUGUUUUAGUCAGGGUCUAGGCUUAAUCUGGUGUAACCAGCCUGAUCACGUACGUAAAAUAAAACAGAAUGGUGAAUGCAGUGAUCAUGCUCGCUCCACCAGGCCAGGCAAGAAAUUCCACCACUUUUAAACCUUCUUUUCAUCAUCUCUAGCACAAUACCAGUGUCUACAUAUCAGAAAACGGCACAGUUCUACAAAAAUAUAAAGUUCAAAAGUUCUACCCAAUGACAUCAUCAAAAGUCUAAACAUAAAACAUAAAGUGACUUUCAAACACUAUGAGAUUUGUGGUGAUGUGGGAAGAAAGAAAAUACCCUCCCUCUGGCUAGAAACACGUUGCCGGUUUUGAAAAUCAGUUUAUUUUUAAUUUUUUACUUUUAAUCCUACCCUGUGAUGUCACAUUUUUUAGGACCUUUCUUCUUAUCUUUUUAACCACAGAUCUUAAAAAUGCACUGUUUUCACAUGCAGACACUGGUUUGUUGCUGAUAGAAGAAUUCUAAAUUCCUUUUGUUUUAUUGCCAAAACCAAUUCAAUUCGCACUCAUUUCUAAUUCAUGAUAAGUUGUAAGUUUAUCAUUUGCAUGAAUUAGCAAGAGACCAGUCUUAAAAACAAGUUCAGCAUUUAUUCUUGAUGAGUACUGACCCAAAAUACAAAGAACAUUACAUUUUAAAGAAAGGGAACAUAAAAUGACGUCAUCAGUUUCACACCCUCUCCCAUCCUUACAAUAGGUAGUAUUCAGUCCUAGAGAAGUUUUACUCCCCUCAUAAACUACAUUCCAACCUGUCUAAAAGAUAUACUUCUCUCCACUAAUGGAAUCCAACCAAAACAUUCUUAUCUGUUUGAAAAACUAUCUUAUCCCUCCUCCUUAAAUUUCCCAGGAGGCAUCAGACAAUUAAUUCAUUCUGCUUACAUUUUCAGUAACAGCUCAACCAAAAACUCAUACUUUUCAAAUCAUAACAUAACAGUAUUAGAAUAAAUGGUUCUAAUCAAUAAUGUAUACAUAAUUAAUCAUCUAAACUAUAAUUUCCUCUAACAGUUGCAAACACGGAAUUGCCCUUCAACAUAAGUAUAGGAAACAGGUCCUAAGGUUCUCUCAGCGACAGUGAAACUCCCUCACCUGGGCAUGCCUUUGACCUUCUCCUGCUUCUUCCAGUUGGCCUCCUGGUACAUAACCCUCCAGUUCACCUUCCUCUGUGAUCCUGCCAAGCUCAGUUACCAGGCAGAGGUCACGUUUUAAGCUUCAGAUCUGGUAGUGAUAACCUGUGGGGAAUGCAGGGAGGGGAGGCUGGUGAACUGGCUGGAGUGUGGAAGUGUGUCCACCUCUCCGCGCUCGGUCCUCUGUUAGGCCCUCCUUGGCCUCUGCCUCUACCCCAGGUCGGAAAGCUUACCUCAAUACAGGGAAAACUAAAAAUAAUUUAAUUCUUUGAUGUAUCAGUGUGGAUAAAGGUGCAGUUUGUAGGACAGUGACAUAUCCCAUCCCUGCAUUGAGGUACAUUUUAUGUAUUCACAUAAUGAAUACAUCUGUUUGACAGGGCAACAACUGUUUUUGGAGAAUGGUUCCUAUCUAAUGAACUACCUGGGCUGUGCCAACUGUCACCAGAAGGACAUUGUGUUGAUCGGCAGCAAGGUCACAGAGGAUGAGGAGGAGAUAGUCACCUAUGAUCAAGAUGUGUGUAAAAACCGUGACCAUGUCAUAGCCAGGCAUGACCUUCUCUGUGGUGGACAAUUAUAAGGAGUACACGAUGGCUGUGUAGGAAGGCAGAGGACUCCAUCAGUGUGCUGCCAGGUGAUCCCAGGAAAACAGCCCCCUCUUCUAGAACUCAGACGACAAUCAUAGACAGACGACCAGGCAUAAACAAUCAAGAACUGUGCGCUCAACUUGAACCAUAAGUCCCAUGGCAGAGAGAUGCACUAUUAUUUUAGAACACACACUGUAUCAAACCCAAAACCAAGCAUAUCUAUUUAUUGACUCUGCACAGACGUAACAUUUCACUUAUAGAGCACAGAGCUCAUUCUUUACCAUAGACUUAUCAUCAGCAGCAUGUGUCAGCAAAGUCUACAUAACAUAGAAUAUGUUACUCCUUAUUGACCACAGACAUAAUAUUCUACUAGAAUUGGACUGUACAGCUCAGUUCACUUUGUAACAACCCCAUAAGAGAUUCAUCUUGGCCAAUCAGAAGGCAAGGAGGAGCUUCUACCAUAUUGCAUUUACCUACGGAUAUACAUCAACUUUGAGGCUUUGGGGGCUAGGGGUCGUUUGGUUAAAUACACGUUUUAGGGCUUAGAACCCUUAUUGGUUCAGAACAGACUGCUGCUCAGGAGAAACAACUGUUACAGAUCACAUCUGUUUAAUUAAAUAGCUUUGACAGCAUAGUUUUUUUAUAUGAAUAUUAAGUGAAGCAAAUGUUUGUUUUGGGGGGGGGGGGUGGAACUUGACACCUUGUACACAUUUGUUGGUUGAAUCGUAACAUAAUAAAGACAAAAGGGUAGGUAGCCUACUACAUUGAACAUUCAUUUCAUAUAGUUCACUAUAAGCCAAAUGUAUACUUUAUUUGAUUUUCUGCAAUCAUUAUAUCAGUUUUUCAGGAGGGCAGAUGCAAAUAGACUCCAAUUUUGCUGGUCUGCAUGAUAAAUGUAUUUAAAAUCGGGACCAGUUUAUUAAAAAAAUACAGAUUUGUUUUAGCGGACCCUA